rnacentral:misc_RNA from 1 species
UCCGAGGUCACCUGGAAAAGAUUGAUUUGCGUUCGGCAAGCGCCGGCCGGGCCUACAGAGCGGGUGACAAAGCCCCAUACGCUCGAGGAUCGGACGCGGUGCCGCCGCUGCCUUUGGGGCCCGUCCCCCCCGGAGAGGGGACGACAACCCAACACACAAGCCGUGCUUGAUGGGCAGCAAUGACGCUCGGACAGGCAUGCCCCCCGGAAUACCAGGGGGCGCAAUGUGCGUUCAAAGACUCGAUGAUUCACGGAAUUCUGCAAUUCACACUAGUUAUCGCAUUUCGCUGCGUUCUUCAUCGAUGCCGGAACCAAGAGAUCCAUUGUUGAAAGUUUUAACUGAUUGCGAUACAAUCAACUCAAACUUCACUAGAUCAAACAGAGUUCGUGGUGUCUCCGGCGGGCGCGGGCCCGGGGCUGAAAGCCCCCGGCGGCCAUGAAUGGCGGGCCCGCCAAAGCAACUAAGGUACAGUAAACACGGGUGGGAGGUUGGGCUCGCUAGGAACCCUACACUCGGUAAUGA